UACGUAGGGUGCGAGCGUUGUCCGGAAUUAUUGGGCGUAAAGAGCUCGUAGGCGGUCUGUCGCGUCUGCUGUGAAAAUCCGGGGCUCAACCCCGGACUUGCAGUGGGUACGGGCAGGCUGGAGUGUGGUAGGGGAGACUGGAAUUCCUGGUGUAGCGGUGGAAUGCGCAGAUAUCGGGAGGAACACCAGUGGCGAAGGCGGCACUCUGGGCCGGAACUGACGCUGAGGAGCGAAAGCGUGGGGAGCGAACAGG
rnacentral:rRNA from 1 species